AGCAGCCGCGGUAAUUCCAGCUCCAAUAGCGUAUAUUAAAGUUGUUGCAGUUAAAAAGCUCGUAGUUGAAUUUCGGGGUCAGUAGGUCGGUCGUGCCACUGGUAUGAACUGGUUUUACUGAUUCCUCCCUCUUGAAGAACUGUAAUGCCAUUAAUUUGGUGUUGCAGGGAAUCAGGACUGUUACUUUGAAAAAUUAGAGUGUUUAAAGCAGGCUUUAGCUUGAAUACAUUAGCAUGGAAUAAUGAAAUAGGACGUUUGAUCCUAUUUUGUUGGUUUCUAGGAUUGACGUAAUGAUUAAUAGGGAUAGUUGGGGGCAUUAGUAUUCAAUUGUCAGAGGUGAAAUUCUUGGAUUUAUUGAAGACUAACUACUGCGAAAGCAUUUGCCAAGGAUGUUUUCAUUAAUCAAGAACGAAAGUUAGGGGAUCGAAGACGAUCAGAUACCGUCGUAGUCUUAACCAUAAACUAUGCCGACUAGGGAUC
rnacentral:rRNA from 1 species